ensembl:lncRNA
AUGAUUGUGUGUUUUCUCUCAGCUAGGAUGAUGGCUCAGUUCAAGGAUGAUUGGAGGAGAGAACAGUUCCAGAAUGAAGGACUUCAGGAAAAAUAUGGUAAAGCCUCUUUAUAUCCCUCACCACCCAAACACUGUAGAACACCUGUGUUCGUGGUGUGUAAAGAUAUCCAGCUUUUAACCAACGUGUCACCACUGGCUUGCCCUCUGCCAGAUCUCUGCUAUUCUAGCACAAUAUUGCCGUUAGGGACUCUCCCAUAUUCCUCCCUUCUCUGCUCUUGCAAAGCCUGUAUGUUCCAAUAUAGUUGUGGUCAAGUGUAAACUCGAGGGGCAUCCCUGCACUGACUCUGAGCACAUGACCCAAGUGUCCCCAGGUAUUCGUAGACUUCCCAUUGUUUUACCUAGGAAUUUUUAUUUAGAACCAAUGAGAGUAAUUUUCAUUCUUUCUUUUACUUCAUUGACACAGC